UACAGAGGGGGCAAGCGUUGUUCGGAAUUACUGGGCGUAAAGGGCGCGUAGGCGGCCUGUUAAGUCGAACGUGAAAUCCCCGGGCUCAACCCGGGAACUGCGUCCGAUACUGGCAGGCUUGAAUUCGGGAGAGGGAUGUGGAAUUCCAGGUGUAGCGGUGAAAUGCGUAGAUAUCUGGAGGAACACCGGUGGCGAAGGCGGCAUCCUGGACCGACACUGACGCUGAUGAGCGAAAGCCAGGGGAGCAAACGGG
rnacentral:rRNA from 1 species